rnacentral:rRNA from 1 species
AUGAACGCUGGCGGCUUGCCUAAUACCUGCAAGUCGCGCGAACGGACGAGAAGCUUGCUUCUCUGAUGUUAGCGGCGGACGGGUGAGUAACACGUGGAUAACCUACCUAUAAGACUGGGAUAACUUCGGGAAACCGGAGCUAAUACCGGAUGAUAUUUUGAACCGCAUGGUUCAAAAGUGAAAGACGGUCUUGCUGUCACUUAUAGAUGGAUCCGCGCUGCAUUAGCUAGUUGGUAAGGUAACGGCUUACCAAGGCAACGAUGCAUAGCCGACCUGAGAGGGUGAUCGGCCACACUGGAACUGAGACACGGUCCAGACUCCUACGGGAGGCAGCAGUAGGGAAUCUUCCGCAAUGGGCGAAAGCCUGACGGAGCAACGCCGCGUGAGUGAUGAAGGUCUUCGGAUCGUAAAACUCUGUUAUUAGGGAAGAACAUAUGUGUAAGUAACUGUGCACAUCUUGACGGUACCUAAUCAGAAAGCCACGGCUAACUACGUG